GAUGAACGCUGGCGGCGUGCCUAAUACAUGCAAGUCGAGCGAACAGAUGAGGAGCUUGCUCCUCUGACGUUAGCGGCGGACGGGUGAGUAACACGUGGAUAACCUACCUAUAAGACUGGGAUAACUUCGGGAAACCGGAGCUAAUACCGGAUAAUAUAUUGAACCGCAUGGUUCAAUAGUGAAAGACGGUUUUGCUGUCACUUAUAGAUGUAUCCGCGCCGCAUUAGCUAGUUGGUAAGGUAACGGCUUACCAAGGCAACGAUGCGUAGCCGACCUGAGAGGGUGAGCGGCCACCAUGAAACUGAGACACGGUCCAGACUCCUACGGGAGGCAGCAGUAGGGAAUCUUCCGCAAUGGGCGAAAGCCUGACGGAGCAACGCCGCGUGAGUGAUGAAGGUCUUCGGAUCGUAAAACUCUGUUAUUAGGGAAGAACAAAUGUGUAAGUAACUAUGCACGUCUUGACGGUACCUAAUCAGAAAGCCACGGCUAACUACGUG
rnacentral:rRNA from 1 species